GCCUUCGUGGUGUAGUGGUCAGCACACUCGGUGCGUAUUCGAGAGGUCCGUGGUUCGAGUCCCGGCAAGGGCA
rnacentral:tRNA from 1 species